UCUUCCGAGACAGAAGUGAAGAAAAUUUCUCUGCAUCAUGAAGAUCCUUUCCAUUUUCCUAGUCAUUGCAAUGGCUCUAGCGGCCGUAAGUGGACAAUAUUGCGAAGGACGGGGACUUCGUUGCCGGCAACAUCGGCAGUGUUGCUCAGGGUUUUGCCGCAGGGGAAGAUGCGCCUAGUUGGAGACACAUCCAGGGAAAAGAGAUCCAGGGAUACGACGGUGCGUCAUUCGGCAAGUCCAAUGUGCGAGAAGACCAUCGCUUGGGCUACCUUCAUGAGGAUGAAAUAUCUGGAAAUAGCAUUUCUUAAGCAUUUUCUCAACUAUUUUGCACUCAUUCUAAGCGAAUGGAUGCAAUAAAAUAUCUUUA